AAGUCGUAACAAGGUUUCCUUCCGUUAAGAGAUUUAACUACUAAAGCCUUAUAUAGCGACUCUAAAUUAACUAUAGAGUCUUACUAUAGGUAAAGACAAUACCGCUGAAAUACUAUAAUCACGAAAGUGUACCAACAGCCUAAUCUAGGCCUAUAGAUUAAGUAGCGGUAGUCUUAGCUAUAUAGCUUUAGACUAUAAUAUAACUAGUUCUUAUCCUAAUGGUUAAGAGCUUUAACGUUCUGUAAGUAAACCUACGGAAGGAUUAUUAAAGAGUUAGGGUCUUCUAGACUUAAUCUCUAACCCUUUAUAUAAAUACUAUGUUACUUUAACGGGCCCGUCUUUAACCAGACCACUAGAGAUUAAAGCCUCUAGCUAGCGCUCGUUAGUAGCCUAUAAUAAAUUCUUUUAACCAUGUAUCUUCUAAAAAUAGUUAAAUAACUAAAA
rnacentral:misc_RNA from 1 species